rnacentral:rRNA from 1 species
AGAGUUUGAUCCUGCCUCAGGAUGAACGCUGGCGGUCUGCUUAACACAUGCAAGUCGAACGCAUCUUUCGGGGUGAGUGGCGGACGGGUGAGUAACGCGUGAGAAUCUGCCUAGAGGUCGGGGACAACCAUUGGAAACGAUGGCUAAUACCGGAUAUGCCUUACGGGGUGAAAGAUUAAUUGCCUUUAGAAGAGCUCGCGUCUGAUUAGCUAGUUGGUAGGGUAAAAGCCUACCAAGGCAUCGAUCAGUAGCUGGUCUGAGAGGAUGACCAGCCACACUGGGACUGAGACACGGCCCAGACUCCUACGGGAGGCAGCAGUGGGGAAUUUUCCGCAAUGGGCGAAAGCCUGACGGAGCAAGACCGCGUGAGGGAGGAAGGCUCUUGGGUCGUAAACCUCUUUUGUCAGGGAAGAACAAAAUGACGGUACCUGACGAAUCAGCAUCGGCUGACUCCGUGCCAGCAGCCGCGGUAAUACGGAGGAUGCAAGCGUUAUCCGGAAUUAUUGGGCGUAAAGCGUCCGCAGGUGGCUGAUCAAGUCUGCGGUCAAAGACCGGGGCUUAACCCUGGAAAGGCCGUGGAAACUGAUCAAGCUAGAGUACCGUAGGGGUAGAGGGAAUUCCCGGUGUAGCGGUGAAAUGCGUAGAGAUCGGGAAGAACAUCGGUGGCGAAAGCGCUCUACUGGACGGUGACUGACACUCAGGGACGAAAGCUAGGGGAGCGAAUGGGAUUAGAUACCCCAGUAGUCC